UGACAACCCUUAAGCCUCACAUCUCAUGUCAUGUUCACUACUCCAGGAAGCUUUUCCUUGAUACUUGUGUGAAGUGCUCUGUUAUAGUCCCUCAAAAGUACAUUCUGUUUUCCUCUUGCUACUUACACUACAAAGAUGGAACUUGUCUAAACGGUGGAUUACACUGACAGAUUUUCAUAUGUGGAACAAUCCCCCAUCUCUGGGAUGAAGCCUAUGACUGAUCUAGAUUGAAACCCAUGCCAUGAGAGGGAGGCCACCCUUGACACUGCCUGGAGGUCCAGGAACAAGAGACUGCAUAGCCCAGAGACCUAGGAAAGAAUCAAACACAACUGAGGAAAAAAGUUAUUCACACUGAUUAGUAUCUGCAACACCUGCUUCUAAAACUCCUUCAAGUUCUUCUGGGAACAUUUAACAAUGGAAGACAGCAUGAAGUCAGCAGAGUUAGACUUGUGUCCCUGUUCUGCAGUAGGCUAAUGUAUUCAUGUUCACUCAUUCAUUCAUCCAUCCUUCACUCACAUAUUCCAUGAGUAAUUGCAUGCUCACAUUUGUGAGAGAAUGGCUUCAGUUAUUGCACAAAGCAAAGUUGUUCUUAUAGUGCUUACAUCUUAAACGUUUCAUUUGUAAAAUAUGAGUAAUAGUUCUCACCUUUUGUAAUUUUAAUGAAAACUAAUGAGUUAAUUUAGGCAAAAAGAUUGGGAUGUACAAGAACCUGGAUAAAUAGUCAUUAUCCUUUUUGUAAUUCUUCAUGUGUCAAAGAUGAAAAUACAUCCACAAAGUGAUGCACUGUUAAUAGGGACUAAUAUGGCUGUUAGGUAGAACUCUUUUUAUUUGCUUCCUGUCUUGUUAAUACGUAUUAGAAGUAAUUUCAGUAGUCUUAAAUAAACAAACAGAAUUAAUGUUUCUAAAGCCAUUGGGGAAAGAUGAACAGCAAAAAUUUUGUUUUUCAGCUUGAAUAUAUAAUGUAUCUUGAAUAAUGUUUUAAAUAAGGCAUUACUUGUUUAAGAUAUUUAGACACCAUUGAUUAUGGAAAAUUAAUAUAUUUGACUUCUAAAGUUUUGGGUGGAAUUUUAUCCAAUACUUUUGUAAUCAGUGUUCUGGGAUUAUACUUGAAAACUUGAAACUAGCACACACACAUAUACACAUUCAAAAUUCAUUUCUAUUUUAUUGAUUGGAAAUAUUUACUCUUUCCUUGUAACUUACUUGCUACUUAAGGUAGAUACACUUCUAACCAUGCUGUAGUAGUCUGAAAUGGUUUGCCCCCAUCCACACGCUCCGUAGAUUCAUGUGUUUGAAUGCUUGACCUGUAUGGAUUGGCACUAUUUGGAGGUAUGGCCUUGGUGAAGUAAUUGUGGUCUUAUUGAAGAAAGUGUGUCACUGUGGGGACACACUUUGAGGUCUCAUAGUCUCAUGGUACACCCAGUUCAGCUCACAAUCUCUUUCUGUUGCCUGCAUAUCAGGAUGUAGAACAUAUGGGGUCUCGAGCCCCUUCAAGCUCUUCCAGUUCUUUCUCUGAUUCCUUCAACGGGGGUCCUAUUCUCAGUUCAGUGGUUUGCUGCUGGCAUUCGCCUCUGUAUUUGCUGUAUUCUGGAUGUGUCUCUCAGGAGCGAUCUACAUCCGGCUCCUGUCGGCCUGCACUUCUUUCCUUCAUCCAUCUUGUCUAAUUGGGUGGCUGUAUAUGUAUGGGCCACAUGUGGGGCAGGCUCUGAAGGUGUUCCUUCAGUCUCUGUUUUAAUAUUUGCCUCUCUAUUCCCUGCCAAGGGUAUUCUUCUUCCCCUUUUAAAGAAGGAGUGAAGCAUUCACAUUUUGAUCAUCCGUCUUGAGUUUAAUUUGUUCUAGGCAUCUAGGGUAAUUCAAGCAUUUGGGCUAAUAGCCACUUAUCAAUGAGUGCAUAUCAUGUGUGUCUUUCUGUGAUUGGGUUAGCUCACUCAGGAUGAUAUUUUCCAGUUCCAACCAUUUGCCUACGAAUUUCAUAAAGCCGUUGUUUUUGAUAGCUGAGUAAUAUUCCAUUGUAUAGAUGUACCACAUUUUCUGUAUCCAUUCCUCUGUUGAAGGGCAUCUGGGUUCUUUCCAGCUUCUGGCUAUUAUAAAUAAGGCUGCGAUGAACAUAGUGGAGCACGUGUCAUUUUUAUAUGUUGGGGUAUCUUUUGGGUAUAUGCCCAAGAGAGGUAUAGCUGGAUCCUCAGAGCUUGAAGGGGCUCGAGACCCCAUAUGUACAACAAUGCCAAGCAACCAGAGCUUCCAGGGAUUAAGCCACUACCUAAAGACUAUACAUGGACUGACCUUGGACUCUGACCUCAUAGGUAGCAAUGAAUAUCCUAGUAAGAGCACCAGUGGAAGGGGAAGCCAUGGGUCCUGCUAAGACUGAACCCCCAGUGAACUAGACUGUUGG